GAUGAACGCUGGCGGCGUGCCUAAUACAUGCCAGUCGAGCGAACGGACGAGAAGCUUGCUUCUCUGAUGUUAGCGGCGGACGGGUGAGUAACACGUGGAUAACCUACCUAUAAGACUGGGAUAACUUCGGGAAACCGGAGCUAAUACCGGAUGAUAUUUUGAACCGCAUGGUUCAAAAGUGAAAGACGGUCUUGCUGUCACUUAUAGAUGGAUCCGCGCUGCAUUAGCUAGUUGGUAAGGUAACGGCUUACCAAGGCAACGAUGCAUAGCCGACCUGAGAGGGUGAUCGGCCACACUGGAACUGAGACACGGUCCAGACUCCUACGGGAGGCAGCAGUAGGGAAUCUUCCGCAAUGGGCGAAAGCCUGACGGAGCAACGCCGCGUGAGUGAAGAAGGUCUUCGGAUCGUAAAACUCUGUUAUUAGGGAAGAACAUAUGUGUAAGUAACUGUGCACAUCUUGACGGUACCUAAUCAAAAAGCCACGGCUAACUUCGUG
rnacentral:rRNA from 1 species